rnacentral:lncRNA from 1 species
GCUGCUAUUUUAAAGUGGGGAAAGUGAAGCUCAGAGGCUAAUACCCCAGUGGAGGAGCUGACCAUUUGCUUCCAGAAGGGGUAGGCCCCCGGGGCAGUGUUCUACCGGCAGAGCUCAGCUCCUUUGCUUUCCUGUCUGCCCCCUCUCUGACAGCGGUGGGCUAACAGGCCAGAGACGGGGAAACGGAGAGGUCGAGGGGAGAAGGUGGCAGAGUGGGAGCAGGGAAGUAAACCUGGCACCCCCUGGAUGUGGAGAAGGGCUGGGCUGGAGGGAGAGCCAGGGCUGGCACUAGGAAGAAUAGCCAAGCAGGUGAAAUGCGGCUUUGUUCUCCCUCUCUGCAGUUCCAGAAGGCCCUCCCUCCGCCCCCAGGAUCCAGCCAUUAACUCAACAACUAUUUAUUAAGCGCCUCCUAACUACAGGGUACCGUAAUGGGCACUAGGGAUACGGUAGUGAACAAACGCAAAUCCCCCCCUCAAGGAGCCUACGUUCUAGGGGUUUCUCUCCAGUGGCGUCAAGCCGUCUUGGGCUGCUUAGAAUUCCCUAGUAGGGUGUUCCCUUUCGGUUCCUCUUCACACGUACGCGCGCGCACAUUCACACACGCGCGUGUCCGUGCCUCGCAACCCUCGCUCGUGCUCACGUGCACACACGGCUACGCACAUGCACCGACACAUACGGGCUCACACGUGCGCGCUCGCGCAGACACGCACACAAACGCGGACGCAGUCGUGCCCUCCCCUCGCACGCCGAGGGCGCAGCGCGGAGUUGCGGGCAGUGGACGCGCGCGCGUGCGCAGCAGUCCGGCCGCCCCGGAGGGUCUCCUAAACCGUGCGGGCGUCGCCGCCGCCGCGCGCUCUCCGGCGCGGGAGGAAGGAGGCCGGCGCGGAGCCCUGGGAACCCGAGUCCCGGCGGUCCCCUCCGGCCGCACAGCCGGGCUCCGCGCUGCGGGCAGACGGGCAGCGUCCCCGGACACCGCGGCCACGCUCCCUUCUCAGCGAUUCCGUCUGGGCGGCCGGAUGGGAGGAGAGGGCAGAUGCAGAAACUGAGGCACUGAGAAUGCCAGCAGUGGUUGGUGGUGGGAAUGUCCCCAAGGCAGAGGUGAAUCUAGAUUCUUUCAUGAGAGCUCCAUUGAAAGAAAGAAGAUGCACUGAGUAAGGAAAGCAACAUUGAACACCUGCUCUGCCAGGUAAGACUGCUAGGAGCUCUGUGGGCACGUUCUCACCGAAUCUUCAGUUACCUGUAAGGUUAUUGUGUUUGUGUUGUGGCCUUCCUCCACAUUUGAAGAACCUUGGCUUCCCAAGGUCAGCUGGCUAGCGUGUGAGCCAGGUCUGUGGACUCACAUGCCUGUGUUUCCAGCACCGUGCUG